rnacentral:rRNA from 1 species
GUUACAGCCGCCGCGGUAAGACGAACCGUGCGAACGUUGUUCGGAAUCACUGGGCUUAAAGGGCGCGUAGGCGGGUGACCAAGUCCGGGGUGAAAUCUCUCGGCUUAACCGGAAAAGUGCCUUGGAUACUGGUCGUCUUGAGGGAGGUAGGGGCAGGUGGAACUUCCGGUGGAGCGGUGAAAUGCGUUGAUAUCGGAAGGAACGCCGGUGGCGAAAGCGGCCUGCUGGAUCUCUUCUGACGCUGAGGCGCGAAAGCUAGGGGAGCAAACGGGAUUAGAUACCCCGGUAGUCC